ensembl:ncRNA sisRNA:3 stable intronic sequence RNA 3
UACUUGGCUUAGCCAAGUCCAAAUAUAAUACCCGCCCCAACACAGCCCGCCAAUAACUGAAAUCAUUUUGAUUUAGUUAAGAAAAGAGAAAACAAGAAAACCAAUCCGGUGCAAAGCUAAAACAUUAACUUUAACGCAUGCUUCCCAUCCACCCACACACUGUACUAUUACGAACCUAACAAACCAACUUUGAUGAUUUUUGUGGGGAGAUCUGUAUCAUUUUUCCUUCUGAGAAGCUAAUGUUUAGUCAAAAACGAGCCCCUACAUCUGACAUCAACGCUUACUUAAC